UUGAUCAUGGCUCAGAUUGAACGCUGGCGGCAUGCCUUACACAUGCAAGUCGAACGGCAGCAUGAUCUAGCUUGCUAGAUUGAUGGCGAGUGGCGAACGGGUGAGUAAUACAUCGGAACGUGCCCUGUAGUGGGGGAUAACUAGUCGAAAGAUUAGCUAAUACCGCAUACGACCUGAGGGUGAAAGUGGGGGACCGCAAGGCCUCAUGCUAUAGGAGCGGCCGAUGUCUGAUUAGCUAGUUGGUGAGGUAAAGGCUCACCAAGGCGACGAUCAGUAGCUGGUCUGAGAGGACGAUCAGCCACACUGGGACUGAGACACGGCCCAGACUCCUACGGGAGGCAGCAGUGGGGAAUUUUGGACAAUGGGGGCAACCCUGAUCCAGCAAUGCCGCGUGUGUGAAGAAGGCCUUCGGGUUGUAAAGCACUUUUGUCCGGAAAGAAAUCGCACUUACUAAUAUUAGGUGUGGAUGACGGUACCGGAAGAAUAAGGACCGGCUAACUACGUGCCAGCAGCCGCGGUAAUACGUAGGGUCCAAGCGUUAAUCGGAAUUACUGGGCGUAAAGCGUGCGCAGGCGGUUGUGCAAGACCGAUGUGAAAUCCCCGGGCUUAACCUGGGAAUUGCAUUGGUGACUGCACGGCUAGAGUGUGUCAGAGGGGGUAGAAUUCCACGUGUAGCAGUGAAAUGCGUAGAGAUGUGGAGGAAUACCGAUGGCGAAGNCAGCCCCCNUGGGAUAACACUGACGCUCAUGCACGAAAGCGUGGAGAGCAAACAGGAUUAGAUACCCUGGUAGUCCACGCCCUAAACGAUGUCAACUAGUUGUUGGGGAUUCAUUUCCUUAGUAACGUAGCUAACGCGUGAAGUUGACCGCCUGGGGAGUACGGUCGCAAGAUUAAAACUCAAAGGAAUUGACGGGGACCCGCACAAGCGGUGGGUGAUGUGGAUUAAUUCGAUGCAACGCGAAAAACCUUACCUACCCUUGACAUGCCACCAACGAAGCAGAGAUGCAUUAGGUGCUCGAAAGAGAAAGUGGACACAGGUGCUGCAUGGCUGUCGUCAGCUCGUGUCGUGAGAGGUUGGGUUAAGUCCCGCAACGAGCGCAACCCUUGUCUCUAGUUGCUACGAAAGGGCACUCUAGAGAGACUGCCGGUGACAAACCGGAGGAAGGUGGGGAUGACGUCAAGUCCUCAUGGCCCUUAUGGGUAGGGCUUCACACGUCAUACAAUGGUGCAUACAGAGGGUUGCCAAGCCGCGAGGUGGAGCUAAUCCCAGAAAAUGCAUCGUAGUCCGGAUCGUAGUCUGCAACUCGACUACGUGAAGCUGGAAUCGCUAGUAACCGCGGAUCAGCAUGCCGCGGUGAAUACGUUCCCGGGUCUUGUACACACCGCCCGUCACACCAUGGGAGUGGGUUUUGCCAGAAGUAGUUAGCCUAACCGCAAGGGGGGUGAU
rnacentral:rRNA from 1 species